GACGAACGCUGGCGGCGUGCUUAACACAUGCAAGUCGAACGGAAAGGCCCUGCUUUUGUGGGGUGCUCGAGUGGCGAACGGGUGAGUAACACGUGAGUAACCUGCCCUUGACUUUGGGAUAACUUCAGGAAACUGGGGCUAAUACCGGAUAGGAGCUCCUGCUGCAUGGUGGGGGUUGGAAAGUUUCGGCGGUUGGGGAUGGACUCGCGGCUUAUCAGCUUGUUGGUGGGGUAGUGGCUUACCAAGGCUUUGACGGGUAGCCGGCCUGAGAGGGUGACCGGCCACAUUGGGACUGAGAUACGGCCCAGACUCCUACGGGAGGCAGCAGUGGGGAAUAUUGCACAAUGGGCGGAAGCCUGAUGCAGCACCGCCGCGUGCGGGAUGACGGCCUUCGGGUUGUAAACCGCUUUCGCCUGUGACGAAGCGUGAGUGACGGUAAUGGGUAAAGAAGCACCGGCUAACUCCG
rnacentral:rRNA from 1 species